rnacentral:rRNA from 1 species
GAGUUUGAUCUUGGCUCAGAUUGAACGCUGGCGGCAUGCCUUACACAUGCAAGUCGAACGGCAGCACGGGAGCUUGCUCCUGGUGGCGAGUGGCGAACGGGUGAGUAAUGCAUCGGAACGUAUCCUGGAGUGGGGGAUAACGUAGCGAAAGUUACGCUAAUACCGCAUAUUCUGUGAGCAGGAAAGCGGGGGACCCUCGGGCCUCGCGCUCUUGGAGCGGCCGAUGUCGGAUUAGCUAGUUGGUGAGGUAAAGGCUCACCAAGGCGACGAUCCGUAGCAGGUCUGAGAGGAUGAUCUGCCACACUGGAACUGAGACACGGUCCAGACUCCCUACGGGAGGCAGCAGUGGGGAAUUUUGGACAAUGGGGGCAACCCUGAUCCAGCCAUGCUGCGUGAGUGAAGAAGGCCUCGGUUGUAAGUAC